GCCUGAUGCAGCGACGCCGCGUGAGGGAUGACGGCCUUCGGGUUGUAAACCUCUUUCGGUACGAACGAAGCGCAUGUGACGGUAUGUACAGAAUAAGGACCGGCCAACUACAUGCCACCACCCGCGGUAAUACGUAGGGUCCGAGCGUUGUCCGGAAUUACUGGGCGUAAAGAGCUCGUACGGGGUUUGUCGCGUUGUUCGUGAAAACCAGGGGCUUAACUCCUGGCGUGCGGGCGAUACGGGCAGACUUGAGUGCUGCAGGGGAGACUGGAAUUCCUGGUGUAGCGGUGGAAUGCGCAGAUUUCAAGAGGAACACCGGUGGCGAAGGCGGGUCUCUGGGCAGUAACUGACGCUCAGGAACGAAAGCGUGGGGAGCGAACAGGAUUAGAUACCCUGGUAGUCCACGCCAUACACGGUGGGUACUAGGUGUGGGUUUCCUUCCUUGGGAUCCGUGCCGUACCUGACGCAUUAAGUACCCCGCCAGGGGAGUACGGCCGCAAGGGUAAAACUCAGAGAAAUUGACGGGGGCCCGCACAAGCGGCGGAGCAUGUGGAUUAAUUCGAUGCAACGCGUAUAACCUUACCUGGGUUUGACAUGC
rnacentral:rRNA from 1 species